AUGAAAAUUGAUAUUUCCAAAGUGUUUGACACUUUAUCUUGGGAGUUCCUCCUUGAGGUGUUGAGGAUGAGAGGCUUUGGAAGACGCUGGUGCUCCUGGAUUUGUGGUCUACUAUACACUGCAUCUUCGUCAGUUCUCAUCAACGGAGAAUUAAGUCAACCGUUUUCCUUGGGUCAGGGAGUUAGGCAAGGAGAUUCGUUAUCACCUGCCCUUUUCAUCCUUGCCAUGGACACGCUGCAUGGCAUGUUGCAAUGGGCGGUGCAACACCGGCUGCUCUCUGACUUUGGGUGCAAUCCGAAGAUGCCGAGGGCUUCCAUAUUUGCAGAUGAUGCAGUGCUGUUUUUCAGGCCAGUUCACACAGACCUUCAAAUCAUAUCCUCUAUUCUAAAGCUCCUUGGAGAGGCCACGGGUCUGAGAAUCAAUAUGCAAAAGAGCACGAUCACCACUAUCCGUUGCGACGAAGGGGUAGCCGCGGUGGUGGAGGAGCACUUUCAGUGCAGGAGGCAACAAUUCCCUAUACGAUACCUGGGCCUUCCUCUUACCAUCUAUCGGUUGCGACGUCAAGAUCUGCUUCCGCUCAUUGACAAGUUCUCGGAUAAAUUGAAGGGGUGGAAGCCGAGG
rnacentral:rRNA from 1 species